rnacentral:rRNA from 1 species
UACGUAGGUGACCAGCGUUGUCCGGAUUUAUUGGGCGUAAAGCGCUCGCAGGUGGUUCGUUGCGUCGUGCGUGAAAGACCCCGGCUCAACUGGGGGGGUGUCGUGCGAUACGGGCGAACUGGAGGCCAGUAGGGGGGAUGCGGAAUUCCGGGUGUAGUGGUGGAAUGCGUAGAGAUCCGGAGGAACACCAGCGGCGAAGGCGGCAUCCUGGACUGGUCUUGACACUCAGGAGCGAAAGCGUGGGGAGCGAUCCGG